rnacentral:rRNA from 1 species
UACGGAGGGUGCAAGCGUUAUCCGGAUUCACUGGGUUUAAAGGGUGCGUAGGUGGGUUUGUAAGUCAGUGGUGAAAUCUCCAGGCUUAACCUGGAAACUGCCAUUGAUACUAUAGAUCUUGAAUUUUCUGGAGGUAAGCGGAAUAUGUCAUGUAGCGGUGAAAUGCUUAGAUAUGACAUAGAACACCAAUUGCGAAGGCAGCUUGCUACAGGAACAUUGACACUGAGGCACGAAAGCGUGGGGAUCAAACAGG